GCGGGUGUGGUGUAUGGAACACGGCCAGUGUCUUCAAUAUGAACAGCUCUGCCUUCCCUGUUAAAGCAGCAGAUCCGGGUUCGACUCCCGGCGCCCGCA